rnacentral:rRNA from 1 species
CGCGUGGCCGACCGCUGCUCUCCUUCGACCGCGGCCUGGGGUUUUCUUGCAAUGGUUUUCGGUGGCGGCUUCAAAUUUUUAGUGGGAGUGGGAUGUGGUGUCUAUGUAGCUCAGAACUACAACGUUCCAAAUGUCAAGAAGCUGUUCAACACGUAUGUUUUCCUGGCAAAGCACGUUGAGGAAACUUACCGUAAGCCGCCGAAGAAAGACGACGACUGAUUAUCAUACCCAUGGCGAAAAGAAGUAUAUACUCUGACAUUACAGAAACAUGAUCUGCGUGAAUAUUAAAGUUGUUAUGAUCUUUUCAAGAGCUGAGAACACCAGCUGUGAAGUUUGUCAUGGCAAGGUUUGUGGAUCUUUAUGAUAAAACCUUAGUGUUUUUUAACGUCCGAUUCAAAUAUUAUGGCACUGGUAGAAAUUUCAUAAUAAGUGGGUGUCUGGCAACUUACCAAAAGUGCCCC